rnacentral:rRNA from 1 species
AGUGAACGCUGGCGGUAGGCCUAACACAUGCAAGUCGAACGGCAGCACAGUAAGAGCUUGCUCUUACGGGUGGCGAGUGGCGGACGGGUGAGGUAUACAUCGGACUCUACUUUUUCGUGGGGGAUAACGUAGGGAAACUUACGCUAAUACCGCAUACGACCUACGGGUGAAAGCAGGGGAUCUUCUGACCUUGCGCGAUUGAAUGAGCCGAUGUCGGAUUAGCUAGUUGGCGGGGUAAAGGCCCACCCAGGCGCCGAUCCGUAGCUGGUCUGAGAGGAUGGUCGGCGACACUGGAACUGAGACACGGUCCAGACGCCUACGGGAGGCAGCAGUGGGGAAUAUUGGGCAAUGGGGGCAAGCCUGAUCCAGCCAUACCGCGUGGGUGAAGAAGGCCUUCGGGUUGUAAAGCCCUUUUGUGGGGAAAGAAAAGCAGCAGGUUAAUACGCCGCUGUUCUGACGGUACCGAAAGAAUAAGCACCGGCUAACUUCGUG